rnacentral:rRNA from 1 species
UACGGAGGAUCCGAGCGUUAUCCGGAUUUAUUGGGUUUAAAGGGUGCGCAGGCGGGUAUAUAAGUCAGAGGUGAAAAACCACGGCUCAACUGUGGUCCUGCCUUUGAUACUGUAUGUCUAGAGUAUAGUUGGAGUGGGCGGAAUGUAGCAUGUAGCGGUGAAAUGCUUAGAUAUGCUACAGAACACCGAUCGUGAAGACAGCUCACUAAGCUAUAACUGACGCUCAGGCACGAAAGCAUGGGGAGCAAACAGGAUUAGAUACCCUGGUAGUCCAUGCCGUAAACGAUGAUUACUCGCUGUUGGCGAUACACAGUCAGCGGCUAAGCGAAAGUGAUAAGUAAUCCACCUGGGGAAUACGAUCGCAAGAUUGAAACUCAAAGGAAUUGACGGGGGCCCGCACAAGCGGAGGAGCAUGUGGUUUAAUUCGAUGAUACGCGAGGAACCUUACCUGGGCUCGAACGUAGUUGGACUAUGGGUGAAAGCCUGUAUUUCUUCGGAACCGACUACGAGGUGCUGCAUGGUUGUCGUCAGCUCGUGCCGUGAGGUGUUAGGUUAAGUCCUGCAACGAGCGCAACCCCUAUUCUUAGUUGCCAGCAUGUAAUGAUGGGGACUCUAGGAAAACUGCCUACGCAAGUAGAGAGGAAGGCGGGGAUGACGUCAAAUCAGCACGGCCCUUACGUCCAGGGCUACACACGUGCUACAAUGGCCGGUACAGAGGGCAGCUACACAGCGAUGUGAUGCGAAUCUCGAAAGCCGGUCUCAGUUCGGAUUGGAGUCUGCAACUCGACUCCAUGAAGUUGGAUUCGCUAGUAAUCGCAUAUCAGCCAUGAUGCGGUGAAUACGUUCCCGGGCCUUGUACACACCGCCCGUCAAGCCAUGGGAGCUGGGGGUACCUAAAGAUCGUGACCGCGAGGAGCGACCUAGGGUAAAACCGGUAACUGGGGCU